rnacentral:tRNA from 1 species
GGGGAUUUGGCUUAGUGGUAGAGCGCUUGCCUAGCAAGCGCAAGGCCCUGGGUUCAGUCCCCA